rnacentral:rRNA from 1 species
UACAGAGGUCUCAAGCGUUGUUCGGAUUCAUUGGGCGUAAAGGGUGCGUAGGCGGCGCGGUAAGUCGGGGUGUGAAAUUUCGAGGCUUAACUUCGAAACUGCAUUCGAUACUGCCGUGCUUGAGGACUGGAGAGGAGACUGGAAUUUACGGUGUAGCGGUGAAAUGCGUAGAUAUCGUAAGGAAGACCAGUGGCGAAGGCGGGUCUCUGGACAGUUCCUGACGCUGAGGCACGAAGGCCAGGGGGAGCAAAACGGGG